rnacentral:rRNA from 1 species
UAACACGUAAGGGGCAAGCGUUGUUCGGAUUUAUUGGGCGUAAAGGGCGUGUAGGCGGUGAAAUAAGUCUGGUGUGAAAUAUCCCGGCUCAACCGGGAAGCCGCGCUGGAAACUGUUUUACUAGAGUGAUGGAGGGGGAACUGGAAUUCCUGGUGUAGGGGUGAAAUCUGUAGAGAUCAGGAAGAACACCGGAGGCGAAGGCGAGUUCCUGGCCAUUAACUGACGCUGAGGCGCGAAAGCGUGGGGAGCGAACAGGAUUAGAUACCCUGGUAGUCCACGCUGUAAACGAUGUGCACUAGGUGUUGGUCCGUUGAGGAUCAGUGCCGUAGCUAACGCGUUAAGUGCACCGCCUGGGGAGUAUGCUCGCAAGGGUG